UAUAUACAGAAGAUCAUGUUAGCAAACAUUAAGUAAAUAUUUCAACAGUUUGUUCCAACACAGAAACAUAAAGUGAAAAAUACUGUUUUGAGUAAGUAGUUAUAGCAUUAAAUCUCAAGGUACAGCACUCUAAGGACAUUUUUUGUGACCCCUAAACCUGCUCUAAAAAGAACAGUCUUUUAAAGAGGAGGAGGAGGAGGAGGAGAAAGGAAAGGAGAAGGAGUGUGAGGGAGAGUAGUAGUAGUAGUAAUAUGUUAAUAUUUCUCAAGGCGUAAUUUCAGAGAGUUGAUGCCAAUGCACCUGACCACUUUCACCCCUCCCCCUUAGCAGACUAAUCAAUUGCUUCUUUCUAUGUGUUCCUAUUGGGUAUAUAUCCUAUGUAUUUUAUAGUUUAUAUCACAUUUUAUUAAAGUUAUUUUCAGGUCUCACUUCCUGACUAUGAAUUGCUCAAGGGCAGAGGUAGUGUUUUAUUUUGUUGAUAUUUCUACAGUACUGGAAAUACCAUAUGGUUGAGUGGAUAAUUAUUUGCUGUGUAAACGUAUGAAGGACAUCCUUCAGCCAUUUUCAAAGGUAGUUUUAAAGGAUCUUGCUUCAGAAUCUGUUCUUCUUCAGGCUUUAGAGGACUGUGAAAAUAGCUUCCUCCAAGUGGUUCAUCCCAAGAACAGUGGUCAACACAAGAGUGAGACAGCAUUGAAGAAUAUUCCCGGGAAAUUCAGAACAUCUGAGAAUUCUAAACUUCAAGGACUAACCAGAAAGAAGCAGAAGAGGGAAGGAAGCUUCUUUCUAUUCUAAAAAGAAAGGCAAUCUAAUGAAGAAAGAAGGUAAUAUGCAUGAGUAUCUGGGGGUGCUAGAAUGGAAGAGGCAGCCAGGAAUGAAGAGCUCCUUCAUUUUGUGAGGAAUAUUUUAGAUGUAAGUACCAGCAUGUAUAACUCAGUGAUAAAGAGCUGUUGACUUGGGUAUCUGAAAAAGCCUAGGAGUAAUAAUGACCUUGGGCAGCAGGAGUUAUUCUGGCCUGAUGAUGCCAUCAGGAUUCAUUUUUUAGCAUUCAUUGGCUCUAUCUUUAGACUAGCUUCACUGUAAGCCUUUGUGACUAGCAGAUUCAUAGUUAUUUCCUUCAAGCUUCAACCCAGGUAAAAAUGUGUUGCCUCUUUCUUUAGUUCCUUUAAAUAGACCUAUGUAGGCUCACAUACACAUUUCUAACCAUGGAUAAUCUUUUUAGACAAAUUUCAGUUUCAUAGCAUUCUUAAAUAAGAGUAUUAGGAAAAGACAACUCUACUUGUACAUGAUCUGAAACUGAGAAUGGAGUUAAUUACCUGAAGGGCAAUACAGGGAAUAUUUACAAAAGGUCAGUGAGGGCUGGGCAACCAAAUGUAAACAAAACAGAUAUUUUCUGGGUGCUCUCUCACUGUUCCACUUCUAUGUUCUUGUCCAGUAUAAUGACAUUGAAGCCUAUAGUUGCAGGAAGAAUCCUGAUCAUGUGAAACUUUUGGGAGAGAAAAUAUAUUGAGAGGGACUUAUGGAUUUGAAGUGGAGAGAAUCAAUUGGAGGCCCCCUCAACCAGGUAGACAGACCAUCUAAUAACCUGGCCUCUCUUUGUCUACUCCUCACUUUAGAGCAUUUAGCCUCCAUUCCAGUUUAGUUACCCUAAUGAUCUAGAAAUUAUCAACAGGUAUGUCUGCCUUCUAAAGAAAUUCAGUUUGACACUCUACCCAUACCUUCUAGUCUAUGCUCUCCUGUGCCAGUGAUAAGUCUAAUCAGGAACUAUAAGCCACUUAAAAUUUUCUCCCUGGCAAUCC
ensembl:lncRNA